rnacentral:misc_RNA from 1 species
CCAAUAGCGUAUAUUAAAGUUGUUGCAGUUAAAAAGCUCGUAGUUGAAUUUCGAGAUCAAAUUGUUGGUCGUGCCUUGGUACGCACUGGCAUUAUUGGUUUCUCCCUUCUGAAGAACCAUGAUGUCAUUAAUUUGGUGUCUUGGGGAAUCAGGACUGUUACUUUGAAAAAAUUAGAGUGUUUAAAGCAGGCUCGCGCUUGAAUACAUUAGCAUGGAAUAAUGAAAUAGGACGUUUGAUUCUAUUUUGUUGGUUUCUAGGAUCGACGUAAUGAUUAAUAGGGAUAGUUGGGGGCAUUAGUAUUCAAUUGUCAGAGGUGAAAUUCUUGGAUUUAUUGAAGACUAACUACUGCGAAAGCAUUUGCCAAGGAUGUUUUCAUUAAUCAAGAACGAAAGUUAGGGGAUCGAAGACGAUCAGAUACCGUCGUAGUCUUAACCAUAAACUAUGCCGACUAGGGAUCGGAUGAUGUUAAUUUUUUAAUGACUCAUUCGGCGCCUUACGGGAAACCAAAGUGUUGGUUC